UACGUAGGCAGCAAGCGUUAAUCGGAAUUACUGGGCGUAAAGCGUGCGCAGGCGGCUUUGCAAGACAGAUGUGAAAUCCCCGGGCUUAACCUGGGAACUGCAUUUGUGACUGCAUGGCUGGAGUGCGGCAGAGGGGGAUGGAAUUCCGCGUGUAGCAGUGAAAUGCGUAGAUAUGCGGAGGAACACCGAUGGCGAAGGCGGCCCCCUGGACCGGUACUGACGCUGAGGCGCGAAAGCGUGGGUAGCAAACGGG
rnacentral:rRNA from 1 species